ACUGGAGUGGGUUGCUAUUUCCUACUCCAGGGGAUCUUCCCGACCAGGGGUUGAACCCGUGUCUCUUGCGUCUCCUGCACCGGCUGGCGGGUUCUUUUACCACUGUGCCACCUGGGAAGCCUCCACCUGGAGGGGCUCUUAGUUUACGUCUGAAGCAAGGUCCUGGAUCAACGCCCACUGUGUGCCACAGACAGCAGGCACGACACGGCAGGCUUCCUGCCUCAGUUUUUUGUGGCCUGCUUUGUGGGACCAGCACGAGCCUGGUCCAUCUACUGAGCAACCCGGCCCUGUCAGCUACUGCGUGGGUGGUAGGUUGAAGAGGGUUUCAGAUCCUGGCCAGCAUCACCAUCACUGCCAAGCCCACCCUCACACCCGCUAGCCGAAAAGACGUCGUCGUUUAGUUGCUAGUGUUUCUGUUCGGUUGCUCAGUGUCUGACUCUUUGCGACCUCAUGGACGACAGCACACCGGACUUCCCUGUCCUUCACCAUCUCCCAGAACUUGCUCGUGGCCAACUCUUUGCAACCCCAUGAACUGUAGCCCACCAGGCUCCUCUGUCCGUGGGAUUUCCCAGAAUGCUGGAGCAGCAUGCGUGGGGCAGACAACGGGACCCCAGCCCCAGAGGGAGCAUCCGUCCCCGCUUCACCACUGCCAGAGUCACAGGAGGGAGCUCCCAGCCAGAGAAGGCUCCUGCCCUCGAGUGAAGGUGUGGCCGAUCCUCCUGGAGUCCUCGUUAAGAG
ensembl:lncRNA